rnacentral:rRNA from 1 species
GGGGAAUUUUCCGCAAUGGGCGAAAGCCUGACGGAGCAACGCCGCGUGAGGGAUGAAGGCCUCUGGGCUGUAAACCUCUUUUCUCAAGGAAGAAGAACUGACGGUACUUGAGGAAUAAGCCACGGCUAAUUCCGUGCCAGCAGCCGCGGUAAUACGGGAGUGGCAAGCGUUAUCCGGAAUUAUUGGGCGUAAAGCGUCCGCAGGCGGCCUUGAAAGUCUGUCGUUAAAGCGUGGGGCUCAACUCCAUUUCAGCGAUGGAAACUACAAGGCUCGAGUGUGGUAGGGGCAGAGGGAAUUCCCGGUGUAGCGGUGAAAUGCGUAGAUAUCGGGAAGAACACCAGUGGCGAAGGCGCUCUGCUGGGCCAUAACUGACGCUCAUGGACGAAAGCUAGGGGAGCGAAAGGGAUUAGAUACCCCUGUAGUCCUAGCCGUAAACGAUGAACACUAGGUGUCGGGAGAAUUAUCCCUCUCGGUGUCGUAGCUAACGCGUUAAGUGUUCCGCCUGGGGAGUACGCACGCAAGUGUGAAACUCAAAGGAAUUGACGGGGGCCCGCACAAGCGGUGGAGUAUGUGGUUUAAUUCGAUGCAACGCGAAGAACCUUACCAGGGUUUGACAUCCUGCGAAUCCCUUGGAAACGAGGGAGUGCCUUCGGGAGCGCAGUGACAGGUGGUGCAUGGCUGUCGUCAGCUCGUGUCGUGAGAUGUUGGGUUAAGUCCCGCAACGAGCGCAACCCACGUCUUUAGUUGCCAGCAUUGAGUUGGGCACUCUAGAGAGACCGCCGGUGAUAAACCGGAGGAAGGUGUGGAUGACGUCAAGUCAUCAUGCCCCUUACAUCCUGGGCUACACACGUACUACAAUGCUACGGACAAAGGGCAGCAAACUCGCGAGAGCUAGCAAAUCCCAUAAACCGUGGCUCAGUUCAGAUCGUAGGCUGCAACUCGCCUACGUGAAGGAGGAAUCGCUAGUAAUCGCAGGUCAGCAUACUGCGGUGAAUACGUUCCCGGGCCUUGUACACACCGCCCGUCACACCAUGGAAGUUGGCCAUGCCCGAAGUCAUUACUCCAACCCGUAAGGGAGGAGGAUGCCGAAGGUGGGGCUGAUGACUGGGGUGAAGUCGUAACAAGGUAACC